CCCCGGUAAACGGCGGCCGUAACUAUAACGGUCCUAAGGUAGCGAAAUUCCUUGUCGGGUAAGUUCCGACCUGCACGAAUGGCGUAAUGAUGGCCAGGCUGUCUCCACCCGAGACUCAGUGAAAUUGAACUCGCUGUGAAGAUGCAGUGUACCCGCGGCAAGACGGAAAGACCCCGUGAACCUUUACUAUAGCUUGACACUGAACAUUGAGCCUUGAUGUGUAGGAUAGGUGGGAGGCUUUGAAGUGUGGACGCCAGUCUGCAUGGAGCCGACCUUGAAAUACCACCCUUUAAUGUUUGAUGUUCUAACGUGGACCCGUAAUCCGGGUUGCGGACAGUGUCUGGUGGGUAGUUUGACUGGGGCGGUCUCCUCCUAAAGAGUAACGGAGGAGCACGAAGGUUGGCUAAUCCUGGUCGGACAUCAGGAGGUUAGUGCAAUGGCAUAAGCCAGCUUGACUGCGAGCGUGACGGCGCGAGCAGGUGCGAAAGCAGGUCAUAGUGAUCCGGUGGUUCUGAAUGGAAGGGCCAUCGCUCAACGGAUAAAAGGUACUCCGGGGAUAACAGGCUGAUACCGCCCAAGAGUUCAUAUCGACGGCGGUGUUUGGCACCUCGAUGUCGGCUCAUCACAUCCUGGGGCUGAAGUAGGUCCCAAGGGUAUGGCUGUUCGCCAUUUAAAGUGGUACGCGAGCUGGGUUUAGAACGUCGUGAGACAGUUCGGUCCCUAUCUGCCGUGGGCGCUGGAGAACUGAGGGGGGCUGCUCCUAGUACGAGAGGACCGGAGUGGACGCAUCACUGGUGUUCGGGUUGUCAUGCCAAUGGCACUGCCCGGUAGCUAAAUGCGGAAGAGAUAAGUGCUGAAAGCAUCUAAGCACGAAACUUGCCCCGAGAUGAGUUCUCCCUGAGACUUAGAGUCUCCUGAAGGAACGUUGAAGACGACGACGUUGAUAGG
rnacentral:rRNA from 4 species